UACGUAGGCAGCGAGCGUUGUUCGGAGUUACUGGGCGUAAAGAGUGACGUAGGCGGUUUUCUAAGUUUGGUGUGAAAUCUCCCGGCUUAACUGGGAGGGUGCGCCGAAGACUGGAAGGCUAGAGUAUGGGAGAGGUAAGCGGAAUUCCUGGUGUAGCGGUGAAAUGCGUAGAUAUCAGGAGGAACACCUGCGGUGUAGACGGCUUACUGGACCAUAACUGACGCUGAGGCACGAAAGCGUGGGUA
rnacentral:rRNA from 1 species